rnacentral:lncRNA from 1 species
UGAUGUCCAGGAUCUGCAAAACUGAUCAUCUAGAACACUUCAUCUGAGUUGAAACACUAUCAAUCAAGCUUCAUAAGAUCUAUUCAACAACUCAUGAAAAAAAGAGAAGACGAUGAAACAUAUGUUCUGUACACACAUGCCUUUCAAAAUAGUUCCCUAAAAAACCUUGUUUCGCAUAACUCUGGCGAUGGCCAAGCCCGGGAGCCUUUAGUCGAUGAGGACCAGACUAAGCUGACACUCCCAUGGUUGCAUACAUCAACCAUGCCCUCCCAAAAUCAGAUCUACUCAUUCUUAAUGACAUUUAUAAUCACAUCUACAUACAUGAAAACAUGAGUAUAAUCAGAAAAUGAAGAGGCUGGUAAAGGGCCACCAAAACAGAGAAGAGGCAUGCCUAAAGCAUAUUCAUGAUAAUGUAAAAAAGAAAUCAGUUAGUAAGCUCAACAAAACAAAUGGUAGUCUAUAACACCAUUACAUAGGGCAAAGGGACAUUAGUUUUCCGGCAUUGUCCAGUGAUGCAGGGAUAAGGGGAACAUGACAAUAAUAUACGUAGAUUCAUAGCCAAAGGUAGACCACCCAAAUAAGGGGAACAUGACAAAGAUGAGACGAUCAACCAACGAACUAACACAACAGCACACAAAGCAAGCACUACAGAGAAGUCCUCAGCUUGAUCAACCAACCAUUGCAUAAAGAAAAUAUAAAAGUAUGACAACUAAACAAAAUAGAAGAAUCUAAGCUUAAGUGGCGAACAAAUAGCUUCUGCACUCACUGCAUAUAGCCAAUUAGCUAUACUAUCAUGUACUAAAAUAAAGAAUAGUUUGUUUGCCUGAAAGCUAUUUUCUGAUAUCCAUCGCAUCAAAUCGAUUUAGGAUUUAACUCCACAAGAACCAAAAGUAUCAGUGUGUGCACAUUUUAGUUAUGUAUCCUAAAAGGCAGUAGGUUUAGAAGUAUCAUAAGAAACCAGAGAAUGAACUUUCCUGCCUCACCUAUCAUCUGGAGAUUAAUAGAAGGCCAAACCGACGCUGCCAAGCAUUUUUAGAAUUGGAUCCCAAACAAAUGGGAAAUGAUGCCUAGAAUGAAAAGGCUGCACAAGGCACACAAGAAUAAUCUAAAGCAGGGUAAUUAAAAAAUUGAAUAUUACCAA